UACGAAGGGGGCUAGCGUUGUUCGGAAUCACUGGGCGUAAAGGGCGCGUAGGCGGUUCGUCACGUCGGGAGUGAAAACUCGGGGCUUAACCCCGAGCCUGCUUCCGAUACGGGCAGACUAGAGGUAGGCAGGGGAGAGCGGAACUCCUGGUGUAGCGGUGGAAUGCGCAGAUAUCAGGAGGAACAUCCGUGGCGAAGGCGGCUCUCUGGGACGGUACUGACGCUGAGACGCGAAAGCGUGGGGAGCGAACAGG
rnacentral:rRNA from 1 species